UUUUCAGCUUUGGUAAUUUUUUAUGAACUAAUAUAUGGUGUGGUCCAUUAAAUUUGCAACAAAUUAAACAUUUUUUAUCAAUUAGACCGCCAAAAGCCCAUGACAAUCGAGCAUGUACUUGAAAAUGUACUUGAACGCCAUGGAACAUUGUUGAAACAGCUAGAACAAUAAUGUAAAAGAAAAACUGAAGAAAAAGCAUUGUUGCAUUGCCAGAAGAAUAAGAAAUAAAAAGAAAAAUGGAAUGGAAAGAAGACCGAGAAAUGUUGUUCAAACAACUAGAAAGACAUCAGUAUUUGGAAAAGCAAAAAAAUUUACUUUUUAUGAAAAUGAGUGGGAGUCAAAGAAUUUUCCAGAAGAUGAAAAUCGAAAAAGUCGAAGGUGAAAUAUUUGAAGAGAGAAAAAGAAGUUCAAAGUGAAGUCUUAGGUAAACUGCAGAGUUUCAGUGAUCAAGUGAAAUAUUUUGAAGAAGAAUUGGGGGAGAUUAAAGAGCGGUGUCAAUGAGAAGAAAAUAAGAAACUGGGCAAAAAGGUGAGCUAACUAAAAGACCAACUAGAUUAUACCCACAUAGCCAGCCAUCCCAUUUCACUCCAACAUCAGGGACAUGAUAAAGUAAAAACUGUUGUCGACCACUCAUUGUGGGCCAUGUACCGUCGACAGAUCGAGGCAGCAUCCAAAAUGAAUGGCUAAAAGGAAGAGGAAAAGCCCACUGCAUCAGUACUGGUACUGCAUGGUCAGGCACUGUCGCAGAAAUUCAGUUUAUAUUCAUGUAUUGCAGCAUAAAGUCUAGCACAAAAAAGACCAAUGAGAGCUUCAGAAAGAUCCUUCCGCCAACUUCCAUUUGCAGAAUAGAAUGUCCUCAUAUUAGAUUGUCUCUAUGUCAUAUUCACAAAACAAGAAACACACUUUUGAAAUAUCAUGAUGUGCACUCACAUCAAAUUAGAUCUAACAGCUGGAUCUAUCCUUGACUAGAGAUCUGGUGUCGAAGGGAUCGACUUCCCUAUGUACAAAUGUAUAUAAUGAACUGCCAGAAUAAAUCAAAGUGAGACAACACUGCAGAUACUUUUGUAAUCUGUAUAUUGAGUAGUAAAAUUUUCCCGGCCUCAACAAAGUCUGCAAAAAGAUGAAUAUUGAUUGUGCAAGUGCUAUCGUUGGUUUUGAUUUUCAUGGAGGUUGGAGCCAUCCAACCUAUGAUGGAUUCAUAGUCUGUAAAGAAUUCGAAGACAAGGUGGUAGCUGCAUGGGAAUUGGAACAAGAGGAAAUGGAAAAGAGGGAAGCCGAAAAAAUCGAUAAAAGAGUUUAUGGCAAUUGGAGAAAGCUCAUAAAGGGUUUGUUGAUACGUGAGAGGCUCAAGGUCAAGUAUGACUUUGGUGGUGAGAACUCGUCAGAAGUACAAAAGGGAAAGAAGUCACAAUUGAAAAUAAACAAACGUAAAAUUGUUAGCGAUAGUGAAUCUGAAUAAAAAAUUUUUACUUAU